rnacentral:rRNA from 3 species
UAAACGACUCUCGGCAACGGAUAUCUCGGCUCACGCAUCGAUGAAGAACGUAGCAAAAUGCGAUACUUGGUGUGAAUUGCAGAAUCCCGUGAACCAUCGAGUUUUUGAACGCAAGUUGCGCCCGAAGCCUUUUGGUCGAGGGCACGUCUGCCUGGGCGUCACAC